AGUGAACGCUGGCGGUAGGCCUAACACAUGCAAGUCGAACGGCAGCACAGUAAGAGCUUGCUCUUACGGGUGGCGAGUGGCGGACGGGUGAGGAAUACAUCGGAAUCUACUUUUUCGUGGGGGAUAACGUAGGGAAACUUACGCUAAUACCGCAUACGACCUACGGGUGAAAGCAGGGGAUCUUCGGACCUUGCGCGAUUGAAUGAGCCGAUGUCGGAUUAGCUAGUUGGCGGGGUAAAGGCCCACCAAGGCGACGAUCCGUAGCUGGUCUGAGAGGAUGAUCAGCCAAACUGGAACUGAGACACGGUCCAGACUCCUACGGGAGGCAGCAGUGGGGAAUAUUGGACAAGGGGCGCAAGCCUGAUCCAGCCAUACCGCGUGGGUGAAGAAGGCCUUCGGGUUGUAAAGCCCUUUUGUUGGGAAAGAAAAGCAGCAGGUUAAUACCCCGCUGUUCUGACGGUACCCAAAGAAUAAACACCGGCGAACUUCGU
rnacentral:rRNA from 1 species